rnacentral:rRNA from 1 species
ACUACGGGCUGCAGCAGUGAGGAAUAUUGGUCAAUGGGCGAGAGCCUGAACCAGCCAAGUCGCGUGAGGGAGUCCUGCCCUAUGGGUUGUAAACCUCUUUUGUCGGGGAGCAAAAGCAGGACGUGUCCGGCUGUGAGAGUACCCGACGAAAAAGCAUCGGCUAACUCCGUGCCAGCAGCCGCGGUAAUACGGAGGAUGCGAGCGUUAUCCGCAUUUAGUGUGUUUAAAGGGUGCACAGGCGGAUUUUUAAGUCAGCGGUCAAAUCGUGGGGCUCAACCCCAUCCAGCUGGUGAAACUGGGGAUCUAGAGUGUGCGAGAGGUAUGAGGAAUGCGUGGUGUAGCGGUGAAAUGCAGAGAUAUCACGCAGAACCCCGAUUGCGAAGGCAGCAUACCGGUGCACAACUGACGCUCAGGCACGAAAGCGUGGGUAUCGAACAGGAUUAGAUACCCUUGUAGUC